UUACUCUGGUUUCUCCUCAUUUUCCGAGUAAAUCUUUCGCCUUUUACUAAAGAUUUCCGUGGGGAGGAACAUUCUAAUGAGUCUAUAGACAAUUUGUGAAACCCUACGUAUGUGGGGU
rfam:Lottia gigantea unplaced genomic scaffold LOTGIsca_2020, whole genome shotgun sequence.